GAAUGCAUCUAGAUUAGAGUUGAUCAUGGCUCAGAUUGAACGCUGGCGGCAUGCCUUACACACUGCAAGUCGAACGGUAACAGGUCUUCGGACGCUGACGAGUUGGCGAACGGGUGAGUAAUACAUCGGAACGUGCCCAGUCGNUGUGGGGAUAAACUACUUCGAAUAGAAGUAAGCUAUAUACCGCAUUAUCGACUCUGAGGAAUGAAAAAGCGGUGGUGACCUUCGUGUGGCCUCGACGACGANUNUGUGAUGCGGACCAGAAUGGCAGAUUAGGGU
rnacentral:rRNA from 1 species